CUCCCACGCUGUUAUUUCUGGUGUAAGAGAUGGAAAGUUCCUGCACUGAGGUUGCUCCCCUCCUCACACCGACUCCUCUUUCCCAUCUCUGCACGCUGCCACCCUCCUGCGGGCAGUCCAGCCCUGCUUCGACUCCGCAGUCCUGUCGGAUCGCUAGAGAAUGGAUCAGGCUGGAGAGGAGCCUUGGAGGUCUCUGCUCCCAGCCCUGCUCACCCCACGGCUAACUUCAAAGUUGGAUAGGCUUGCCCAGGAGGGAGCAAUCUCCAAGGGUGGAGAUUUCGCAGCCUCUCGGGGCACGUGAUGCAACGCAGUUACCCUGUCACGGUGAAACUAUCUUUCCUGGUAUCCCUUUCCUAGACAAAUUUCAUCUUUUAGUCCCAUCAUUGCUUUUCCGUUGCAUCCCCACCUCCGAACCCCUGGUCAACGUACAAAGGCCUAAGCCUACAAGCACGCUCAACUUCAGCACUAAAGGGACCUACACACCCACCUUUCCCUAAAAUCAGUGGGAGCUUAAUCUAAGGCUCUGUACCAGAAUGCUUCUUAAAUGUAUUUGAAACUGGGCUGUGUUGCUUUGGUACUCUGCAGUACAGGCCUAACGAGGCGACAAGGAUUCUGGCGGAGACUUCUAGCUACCAACAAACGGUGAGGAGUUACUUAGCUGUAGUAUCUUGACCGUGUUCCUUUUAGGGAUCAGUUGAGUUUUCAGUCAACUUCAGUUUUCCUCUAACUUCUUCUGCCAAUGCCAACAUCUCUCUUGUUAAAUUAGCAGCAACCAUUUAAAGUCUUUUCAGCAGCAUCUGCAUGAUAAUUGCACAGAGAUGCUUUAUAUCUGGGAAAUAAGCCAAGGAAUAAACCUCGAAGCAAAGUGUAUUAAAUUAGUUAUCUCGUUAUAGCUUUUUGAAUAAUUUCCUAAUGAUGAAUUAAGUUUGAGCUCAGAGCUGUCAAGUCCCAUUGCUCCGCUCGGAUGUGAGAAGUAGAAAAUCAGGAGGGAAAAGGAUCUCUUCCUAUGUCUUAUUAUUCAGCUCUUCUUGGCUGAAACGUAUACUUCUGUUUCUACAGCGAGCACAGGAAAGUUACUGCAUAAGAGAACGUAAAGAGCUGUGUUUGAAAGGAAGAAAAUUAAGCAAAUGUUUUUUAUGCAAAGAUGCAUCAUAGGUGUCUUAGAAAAAUAUUAAUUACAAAAUGGCACCAAAAAUCCUUUCCAAAUUAAGUCAGUGCCUAUUAAUGAGCCAAGUAUGUGGCCACAUAGUAAACAGUCAUUUCCAAUUAACUCCUAAAGUGGCUGCUAUGGUAGAUAGAGGCCAAUGUGACUCACUUUUUCCCUUUCAUUGUCAAAGAAUGGUAAUUUUAAACUUUUCCUUUCAUCUGACUUCAAUGUAUUUUUCCUGCUAGAUUUUAUCUUGACCAGAUCUGCUAAUAUCAUAAGUGAAUUGGGCUGGUGCACAUCUUCAGAGGUUCCUUUCCACCUCAGCUUGCAACCAAACCGCAGCAUGCCGACAUUUUACGAUUAAAAUGUGAUACAGUUUUGUAGGGGAAAAACUGAACCGUCUGACUUUUGAACCUGUUGUCGUUUUAUCGGGCCUAAAUUGCUUGGGCAGUAUUUCCUAACCUUUAGGGAGUGACAGGAAAAUACAUUUUGCAUCCAAUUUCAUCAGGAAUGAACACGAGACUUAAAGCAACAGUACUGUUUAGUUUGUGUCCCGCAGGCUUUAACAGCGGAGUCCUUAAGCAGAAAAGGAGGACAGCCUGGGGUUGCUGUCUGUUGUGUCGCGUGGUUUUUUUAACAUCAAAGCAUGACAGUGGGUAGGUUCUAAGAGACCAGUUUCAUCCAUUCGGAGUAAAGUCUGGAUUGAAAAUCUUGCAAAGAUGCAUAGUCAAUGAAUGGAGCUGCACCUUAAACAGUUUGACACAAGCAGUCUUCUCCCAAGGCACCCGUGUUGCAGUCUGGCACGUUUAGCCUACGCUCCCUGAUUCUUUCAAAGAGAGAACUUGGAGUGGGUAAGCAAGUCUGACUUGGGAAUCCAUUGUGUAUGUUUUCCUUUUUGUGCACUCUUAAUCUGUAUUUAAAUUUGCAAUUUAACACCCUCUUUUUUUUUUUUUCUUUUUCUUUUCUCUAAACUCUUAACAAUGAUAGUAUCGAGGUUGCUGGCAUCAAAUUUUUGGUUAAAGUUACGGUCUGAGCAUUGUCCGACCAGGGAUGGGAGAGAUGACAGCCGAGUUCUGACGCUGCUCAGUGCUGUGGACGUCCUGUUUCCUUCCAUCCUCCACAGGCCGCACUGGAGGAUGGUGGUCGUUAGCUGCUCAGGUCCUACUCGUUCCAGCUCCUCCACAGGCCUGCUUUGGCGCCUCUUGUCCUUGAUUACCUGAGGAAAGAUGAAGCUUGACCCCACAAACUUUCUCCUAUAUAGGUAUAUAGGGACCCUAAAUGCUCAGCCUUAUUGGAAAUACCUUUUCCCUAAACUAGUUUCAGCUGGCAGGAGACACAUCUGUGAGAAUUUAUUCAACCCAUUGCUAAUGCAGUCCUUUAUAAAAAGUUAUAUUGCAGGGCAUUUCUGUUCCACUUAUUUAAAUCAGUUGCCUCAGCUACAAGUAUUACUAAAUAUUUGCAUGAUUUCAAGAGCUUUUAUUUUUUAUUUAAUUACUUUCUUGUAAACAGACAGAAAUGCAAAUGGAAAAACAUAGGUUGGAAAAGAAUGAGUAAGUCUCAGUGCUUUAAUAGAGAUGGCCAUUUUAAGCUAAUAAUUAUUUUUUGAUCCAAUACUUGCUAUGUCUGUGCAGCCCACAAGCGACUCUAAAAUAAAUGCUGAUGGGCAAUCUCCUGCUUGGAUAUAGCACACAAAUCUAUGGGGAAAAUUCAGCCGCUACUGAGCAUGCUGCAUUCUCAACAGCCGAGCUCCCACUGGUCUCCUGGGAGGAGAUGAUGGCUGAAUGAGCUGCUGUCAGUCCCACGAACAGUUUGUGAACUGUGUGCUCAGGAAGUGGGAGCAUCAGUAUGGCCGGUAUCUGCCGUAGCAGCUCUCGUGCACCACUGAGAGAGGUCGGAGUUAAAUUUCUGCUGCUUGUCUUUAUGGAAAAGAAUGCCGUACAGCCAGAGAGCUGAGGUGGCACCCACUGCAUGAAAUAAAGGAUGCGUCAUAUUGAAGGAGCGAAUACCCAGAACUGACCUGGAAAGGGAAGCACUGCAUGAAAACAUCAUUUGUCCACCCCUCUAUAAAAAUGGAUGUAAAUCUGCUGGUGUAUAGUCCUAGUCACAUGGAGUUUGGAGAUGGGUUUUGAUGCCAACAAGAGAAAGGUUGCAAGUGCAAAACCCUGAAGGCAAUUGUCCCCAUCUUGUUCUUAGCCUUCUAGAAAGGUUUUCUUGUAGAAUCUGCUGCUAUGGGAACUACAGAUGCUGUCCGAGUCUUUAGAGGAGGACAUGACGCGUGCAGCUGCGUGUAGCCUUGGCUUGCAGGGAUUGUGAUUUGAGGAAGGAACAGCUGGCUGCUUGGGCUGUUGGCCGAAUAACAGAAGAUGGAGGUCUUAGCCAUAAACUAUUGUUAGAUUGUGAAACAAAACACUUAGCGCACAGGUCAGAAAUAGCAGUGUUUAUAUAGAAAAUAUUUAAAAGUAAGUAAAUUUUGUCAGCGUUUUUAGAGUAUCUUACACUGCAAUUCCCUUGGAUCCUCUCGGCCAUUUUUCGGUUGGUGGUUUUUUUUCAGCGUGUUAAGUUUUGAUGCCCGUGCGUUGUGUGCACCCUCGCUGCGAGUUUCGCACGUGCUACAGCAGCAGGACUUUGCCUUUGGAGGGUGAACGGGAAGUCAGCGGGAACAUAGCAGCUUUGGCUGAAGAAUCCCAGCACUAUUUAACAGCAAGGGAAAGACUAAUACUUCAGCUGAUCCCUGAAAUGACUAUAGAGCUCGAUCGUUUUUGCUCUUCCACAUCACGGGGGUAAGGACUCAGUGUUUUGGACACUCAGCUCCAGAUAUUUCAGGGGCAGUGUUCCCUGAUGAGGAAGGCUUCUACAAAACACUUCCAUGGCAGGCUAGAGGUUGCACCCUGUCUUGGACAGCGGCUGGUAGCUGAUGCUUAAGGAAGAGAGAUGAAUGUGUCUAGAGGAGGGUGCUCAGCCCCUCUAGCACACCUGGCAACCGGGCCUUCGGGGGCUUCCCGAGGUGAAAGUUAUAUCCCGCUCACUGUGAUGGAUCCAUCUUCCAUGAAUCACGUUACCUUCUCUUUAAAACCCAUUUAUUCCUCCGGCCUUCACAACGCCCUGUGUUGGUGAGUUCCACAACUUAACGUACAUUACGUCUAUAAGAACUUCCUUUUAGUGUAUGUGAAAUAGAAGUAUGUUCUCGCUGCUACUCGGUCCUUAAAAGAAAACAGACCUUUAGUGCCAGAGACACUGUUAAUAGGAUGUGUAUCCUGUUGAGAUUGCUCCGUAUGGAAAACAUGUUUUCCUCAUUAGUAAAGUACCUUUCUUUGGCUAUUUUACAAAGGAAAAAAGUUUACACAUGCAGAUGACUGUAAUACUCCCAUAUAUAAUUGUGUGGGACGCGUUAAAUGAAAUAACAUGUUUAAGUAAGUUUUAUGUCACUGGAUUUUACUGUCCUGUUUUACUUCAGUAUUUUGAUGCUUCCUGUUGUAUUUGUUCUGUAAUUCUGUACAUGACAGUUCAGCACAAAACAGUGAUCUGACUCUCACGACCUCAUUGUAUGUACACAUUUUGUAGAGAAAGGAGACAUCAGUUCUAUGCCCUUCCUGCCCCCCACUCCCUCCUGUUAGGGCUGAAUGGCAGAACUAUUCUAUGCUAUUGAAAGCCUUUAAAAAAAUAAAUCUAUGCAUGCUAUUUUAUAUUCUAAUGUAUUAUUCAUAUCAGUACAUAAGCUUAUGCUUGUCAGUUUUAUCUUGUGUAUAGAACUGAUUACUUUUGACAGUAUUUUUGCACUGUUUCUUUUCUUUCUCUUUUUAUAAAGUUCUAUUCAGCAUUAAUUGACUGCAAUAAUUUUUUUACCCCUUUCACUGCCUUUUUGUGUAAAUAGUUUCUUAUAUGCUUUUGCAACUACGAGAACGUCUUCAGUCACUAAGGUUUUUUGGUAAGGCUGUCCUUCAUAUUCACAGUAUAAAAUAAACCAUUUUUUUCAAG